rnacentral:rRNA from 1 species
UGCAACCUGAGUCUGACGGCGGAUACCCGGACUGA